GCUGUGCGUGAUGCCGGGCUGUGCGUGAUGCCGGGUUUGUGUGUGAUGUCGGGUUUGUGUGUGAUGCCGGGCUGCGGGUGAUGCCGGGCUGUGCGUGAUGCCGGGUUUGUGUGUGAUGCCGGGCUGCGGGUGAUGCCGGGGCUGUGUGUGAUGCCGGGGCUGUGUGUGAUGCCGGGUUUGUGUGUGAUGCCGGGUUUGUGUGUGAUGUCGGGUUUGUGUGUGAUGCCGGGUUUGUGUGUGAUGCCGGGCUGUGCGUGAUGCCGGGCUGCGGGUGAUGCCGGGCUGUGGGUGAUGCCGGGCUGUGGGUGAUGCCGGGCUGUGCGUGAUGCCGGGCUGUGCGUGAUGCCGGGCUGUGCGUGAUGCCGGGCUGUGGGUGAUGCCAGUUUGUUUGUAGGUCUUUAGUUUUUUCUUUCUUUUGUGUUUAAUGGGGAAGCUUCCUGCCAAGACAGCAACCCCUCUGGGGGAAGGAGUUCAAG
rnacentral:lncRNA from 1 species